rnacentral:hammerhead_ribozyme from 1 species
GCACUGCUGAGGAGUCCCGGAAUGAGACGAAACGACCGUCCAGUGC